rnacentral:rRNA from 1 species
AUUGAACGCUGGCGGCAGGCCUAACACAUGCAAGUCGAGCGAGCGGCGGACGGGUGAGUAAUGUAUGGGGACUGCCUGAUGGCGGGGGAUAACUACUGGAAACGGUAGCUACUACCGCAUACCAUCAGAUAUCCCAUAUGGGAUUAGCUUGUAGGUGAGGUAACGGCUCACCUAGUCGACGAGCCCUAGCUGGUCUGAGAGGUUGAUCAGCCACACUGGGACUGAGAAACGGCCCAGACUCCUACGGAGGCAGCAGGGGGGAAUAUUGCACAAUGGGCGCAAGCCUGAUGCAGCCAUGCCGCGUGUAUGAAGAAGGCCUUCGGGUUGUAAAGUACUUUCAGUCGGGAGGCGUUACCGACAGAAGAAGCACCGGCUAACUGCGUGCCAGCAGCCGCGGUAAUAC